UGAUUCAAAAAUUGAAAUAAUAAUCGAAUUGGUAUUGAAUGGUACAAUGGAAGUCCUUGUAAUGUUGUUAUUAUUUUCUCUUUUGCUGCUUCUUCUCCUUUUUCUUUCUGAUCAAUAAACUUAUAGGCCUCAACAAGAUCAUCAUAAGAAGAGAAAGGAAAAAGGGGUUCAGGCAAAGCCGCCAAAAAAGACUUCAUAAGAGAGGCAAU
rnacentral:ribozyme from 13 species